rnacentral:lncRNA from 1 species
GAGCACCAAGGUCCAACACGACCGGGAGAAAUUGGCCAUUUUUUUGAGUCUUUGCUUCAUUCCCGUUACACGAUAACGAGCAAAGAUGGGCAUUUGUAAUAGGCCCAAUUUGCCCGGCCCUUACAAAAACAAAUAAAAUCAAAAAAUAAAAAAUAAAUUAAAAGUCCAAAAGUCCAAAAAUACAGAAACAUUAGCCCAAUAAAAUCUAACCCAAAAUACAGUCCUAAACUCGGUUGUAACCCAAACCCAAUUAAGCCCAAACCUAAUCUGACCCAAUAUCACAAACCUGAUUACCUAAUUACAUUACCCAACACCAGGCCCAAAUUACAAACCCAUUACAGCCC